GACAGAGGUUGCAAGCGUUGUUCGGAAUUACUGGGCAUAAAGCGCACGUAGGCGGUCCGCUAAGUCAUGUGUGAAAUCCCCCGGCUCAACCGGGGAAUGGCGCCUGAUACUGGCGGACUCGAGAUCGGUAGGGGUGAGUGGAACUCCAGGUGGAGCGGUGAAAUGCGUAGAUAUCUGGAGGAACACCGGUGGCGAAAGCGACUCACUGGACCGACACUGACGCUGAGGUGUGAAAGCUAGGGUAGCAAACGGG
rnacentral:rRNA from 1 species